rnacentral:ncRNA from 1 species
GUAAACACGGUGAAGGGGAACAAGUACUUAAAAAACCUUUUUCAGAGAAUUGGUGGAUGGUGCGAACCAAUAAUUAGGAUUUUAAGGAAUUUCCGCCCUGGAGUGGAGUAUGAUGAAUACAACCGGAUUACAUGACCGUUAUCGUGUAGCUGAGAGGAGUAGUAGACCUAUGUCUAUUAUUUAAUCAGGGUGGCAACGCGGGUAUAUAACUCGUCCCUAUU